rnacentral:rRNA from 1 species
AACGUAGGGGACAAGCGUUAUCCGGAUUUACUGGGCGUAAAGCGCCCGUAGGCGGCCUGACAAGUUGGACGUGAAAGCUCCUGGCUUAACUGGGAGAGGCCGUUCAAAACUGUCAAGCUAGAGUCUGGAAGAGGAGAGCGGAAUUCCCGGUGUAGUGGUGGAAUGCGUAGAGAUCGGGAGGAACACCAGUGGCGAAGGCGGCCAUCUGGCUCAACAUUGACGCUGAGGCACGAAAGCGUGGGGAGCAAACAGG